UCUGUUUUUAUCAAGUUUACGCGAGUCUACAUUUAAUCAUCAUGAAAUGCCGGGUUGGAAAAGUGACGUAUCGACAUUUUUCAAGCUCCUGCAAUUCGGAAGCUGAGCGAGGAUGAAAAAUCAGUGAGAUGAGAGUUACGACGUGGCCAAAAAUAAGGGAGCCCGCACAGCAACGUAAAAAGUACAUUCCCGAGUGAGAAAGGAGUCAACAGGAGGGAGGAACAGAAAUACUGAACAGCGUCGACGAUUCGCUCUGUCAAUCCUUGUACACCAGCAAAGCCUGAAGACGAUGCACGCCGGGGCUCUUUUUACGCAUAGGUAGGAGACUACAAAGUGCGCGCGUCAGGCCAGAUGUCGGUCGAGCGGUCGUCUUUAUGACUGUCAAGUCAUACGUGGACCAAGACGACGACGAGAACGACGGACGGAUGGCGAAAAGGAGGACUAUGACAAACACAAACGAAAGGAUAAAUGGAAUCUACGGUGACGCAAAACGUCGCGUCGUCACGUCGUCACUACCGUAUCGUCUAUUUCUUCGACUCAUAUAUACGCCAAUCGAUGGUUUGUGAGAAAUAUGGAGGAGCCAAAGAAAAAUAACGGCAAUUUAUCACGAAAGUUAUAUUUUUCUUGAUGACAAGAUGAUGUAACUAGCUCAUUAAUUUUUUAUACACAGCAAUUUAUUCGCAAUGAUGAAUGUGACGAUAAUUAAUGUGGCAAAACUGAUUGAGAUAGAAAAAGGAACAAAGUCUCAGGAGAUAGAACAUAUGUAUUUCCUCGAAUGUAAGUCCAGAAAAAGAAUGAAGAGUUUAGUGUU
rnacentral:lncRNA from 1 species